UGGGGAAUAUUGCACAAUGGAGGGAACUCUGAUGCAGCGACGCCGCGUGAACGAAGAAGGCUUUCGAGUCGUAAAGUUCUUUUAUAUGGGAAGAUAAUGACGGUACCAUAAGAAAAAGCCCCGGCUAACUACGUGCCAGCAUCCGCGGUAAUACGUAGGGGGCUAGCGUUGUCCGGAAUCACUGGGCGUAAAGGGUUCGCAGGCGGAAAUGCAAGUCAGGUGUAAAAGGCAGUAGCUUAACUACUGUAAGCAUUUGAAACUGCAUAUCUUGAGAAGAGUAGAGGUAAGUGGAAUUUUUAGUGUAGCGGUGAAAUGCGUAGAUAUUAAAAAGAAUACCGGUGGCGAAGGCGACUUACUGGGCUCAUUCUGACGCUGAGGAACGAAAGCGUGGGUAGCAAACAGG
rnacentral:rRNA from 1 species